rnacentral:lncRNA from 1 species
UACACAAAUAAACAGCUGUAGGUCUCCCAGUCCAAUUUCAAAGUCAUGUACAGGAGACGCUCCUACUUCAUCUGGCCCCAUGGAGCUGGCUUCGUAGGAUGAAACUGUAAUGCACCAAGAAGUAAAGGAACAAUUGGGUUUCAUGACUUUAAAAGUCCAACAUUGGGAAGAAUAAAAAAUGAAGUUGGCCAACGAGAUUUGCUCUUACUCUUAACUGUAAGGACUAUGAUUUUAAAUGGACAUUCCGCCAUCUUGUUUGAGGAAUUCUG